CCGCGCGAGAGCGACCUGCGUCCCCCCGAGCCCCCCUUGCUGCCGCCACCCCUCCCCUCUGCCCCGCGCCGGAUCCGCCUGCCGCCGCCGCCACCGCUCUCCUCUGCCCCGUGCUGGACCACCUCUCCUCCUCCUGCCGCGCCGCCACCGCUCCUCCAUCCUCCGCCAAUUCCAAUCCCCUCCUCUUGGCCGCGCAUCCGCGACGGAGACUGAGGAUCCCGAGCCCCGGCCCCAGGCCCUAGCCGCCGGGGAGCUGGUCUGGGCCAAGACCAAGGGCCGCCACCGGCGCGCCUCCGCCCCCUCCCCAGAAUCCUCCCUCGUCUCCUCACCCCGCCGCCACCGUCAAGCCCUUCCUUGCCAUCCCCGACACCGACGCCCUCACAAGGGCCAACACCGGCCUUGCCUUCAUUCCCCACAAGUUCUUGCCGCCCCCGCCGCCUCCUCCUCUUCCUCCCACCUCAGCCGCCUCCCCCCUCCCCCUUACCCUCUCCCCCACCCCCUCCCGCAUCUCGUCUGCCCCGGGUGUGGAUGCGACCUUCCCGGUGCCGCUGGGUUCGAUCUACAGGAGAGAGAGAGAGAGAGAGAGAGAGAGGGAGGUGUGGCUUCUAACUGGAGAGGGUCUCCGCCGGCGUCGGCCUGCACCGGCGAGGUCAGGCGCGACCUGGCUUCUAGGGCGGCUUGACUACAGUCUACAGGUGACCACGUCCCUUUUCUCCCCUUCUCCCGUAUGUAUCUCUCUAUGUUGUUUCUCCUCCUUCCUCACACGAAGAAACACACAGAGCAGUAAACAAUGGGAGGAUUUGGGGGCUGCUCAGUUUUGGAUAUGGGGGCUGCACGGGCUUGGAGCAGCAAGCCUUGGCAACGAAGUAUACCCAUAUUAUAAUUAAAGGAGAGGAGUUGUACCGCCUUGCACAUAAUGCAUUUUAAUUCCUUAUUUCUCACAUCCCGAAGGUCACAUUACAUCUAUGAACCAGAAGAACUAGAGAAGUGUAUCUUAACGUUGUAUGCAGAGCUGGGUCGACAUAUGAAGACGCGGGAGCUAAAGCAAAUAGACUGCAAGGUUAUCAGGAUACUAGAGAAAUGGGUUAUGCUUUAGUCCUUGUAAAUGGCACUGGUUUUUCUGGUGCAAGUAAAGCCUGACAGUGGUGUACUCCAGGCAAUGUGAAGCUGGGACAUUCCUAUCAGGCGUGACCUUGUAGCCAAAUCCAUGAGGAGUCAGAGGCAGUUGCAGCAACUAACCAUGAAGCGACGGCGGAGAUCCAGUUCAUCUUUUAGGUCUGACCAGCACAAGGUGGCAACAGCAGUAGUGGAGAAGGCAUGAAGAGGCCCACAUCUAAAAAUCCGUUUUGCUGACGAUCAAGGGAGAUGGUCUUAGCAUCCACUAUGACAAUGUUGUCCAGAACAUGGACGACUCUGGAAACUGAAAAGUGCACACAAAGGCCACCGAUCGGAUCGGAGUGAAGAAACCCGUUCGGACCGCUGCCGCAUGCCUCGCCUCAGCAACGGAUCAACCUCUGCACCUACAUCCACUUCGACAGGUCGUCGGUCAAAGCAGGUCUAUUUUACCCUCCUUCAUGCGGAUGAAUCUGAUCAAGUUUAUUUCAAAUUCCAAUCUAGAGUAGUUACACUUUUUCGCCUCUGCCUGCCUGCUUCUAGCAGGGUUGCAUUUCUCCAAUUUUCACAGCUUCAAGUCAAUACCUAUAAAUUGUGUAUGUGAUUCAUCAUCGUUCAAUUAUCCCGUACCCUAUGUGAAUUAUAUGCUGAAGUACAGGUUGACAAGAACCUACUAGAUGUACAUACUUUUCUAGCUGGUACACAGUAAAAAGAAAGGGCUUGAGUAAAUGCACAUUGUUCAUUUCAUAUCUAUCAGAAGUUCCUGCAUUUAUUUUCCAGUAGCCAUAAUCAAUGUCAGUCACACACUUUGAAGGUUUUACACUUUUAUUUGGUAUCCUACUGCGCUGCAUGAUAACAUCCACAUUUACACGUAGUUUAGGCCCAGUAAAGCAUUCCCCCCUGGUUUCUUCAGCUUGCAAGAAAGGUUAUGGACUCUGAGUUGACAUUCUAUUUAUUAAAAAGGUGCCUACAUGAAAAAAAAUCAUUGAAAAGCCAAGUGAGACACAAUAACUGUCCACCCAAAUCAUUGUGCUGGCUCAAAGCCCUCUGCGACACAGAGGCUGACGGGCUCUUGCUCUGCACCCGCCAAUCCGGCGAGGGUGCUAUAUGUGAAUUUUCCCGAAUUGUGAAACUAUUGCAUGUGCACUAUAUGUAUGAUGGAAGGUUUCACUUAAGAAGUGUCCAAACUGAGGUACUAGAUAACUGCCAUACUUAAUGGAAGAGACAUUCGCCCUAACCUGCAACUGCACCAGUUAUAUAGAUGCACAUAUAACUGAUUUGUUGCUAUCUGAGACCAUUAUUUUAAUUGUGAAUCUUAUUUUUCUUUACCUCUAGGCCAUGAACCAUCUUACCCUUAAAUCAGAAUUCAUGUUUUUUUCGCUCAUAUUUUGUUCCUUACCAGUGACAGUGCAGAUUCCUAAAUGCAUAAAGCUCCCGGGAAGGUAAAACUGUGGUGUUUCAUUAAAUUGAAAUCUGUCAUUUAUAUUUGACUGCUUCAUUCUUCUCUAAAACCACAGGUAUAUCCAUAUAGUGAACUGGAUUAUGCAUUAAUCGGUUGAUUCAGAGCUCUUGUAUCUUGAGUGGCAUUCACCUUUGGGCAAUUCAAGCGACCUUAGGUAUUUUCCAGUGAUAUUGAAGCUAUUUUGAAAUAGUGCAUACUAGCAUAAUUUGUGUUAUUUUCCGCGAUAGAUGAAUUAGCAUAUCCCCAAAGAAGAGCAAAUCCACUUAGUUAGAGCUUCGUUGUUACUCUGCGAGGAAAUUUAUCGUUUAAAACUUUUAUCUCUUCCAUUAUUCAGUGUUGUAGGAUAUUUUCCAACUGCACUUGAAAAUUAGGAAGCUGAAAAAAAACAAGAGCUCAAUUUUUAGACUAAAAUUACAAACAUUGCAAUAAAAAGGUUGUAAUUCAUACAAGUUACCAACAUUGAUAAGUGAUACUGCAUCAAUAUUUCUCUUUCUUUUGCUAGAAUAUCUCUUUUAUACAAAUUUAGGAAGAUCUUAGGACGAUUUUUUCUGAUGGAUUUUUCCUCCUUUGUUUAUGUUUCAGGUCAUGGUCUUCUUAACGAUGUCUCACUGUUGAAAAGAGUUCUUAUGUGGGUUCUGUUUUAAUGUCUUUGUAAGAUAUUCUCUUGUGAUAUUUCAGUUGUUCUGGAUGCGAUAUUUUUGUUUCUAGCUACUGAAAGCAUGAGGCUAAUAUAAAUUGAACCCAUUUUAAAUUUGGAUUUGCAUUGCAAUUAAUUAUAGCAAACUGGUUAGUCAAGUAUCUAUGGACUAUUAAUAUAGUUAUUCUUUGUCCUUCCCGAGUCCUUUUUCUUGGUACUUCAGCUGAAAAGAUGCCCUUGGAGAAUGUUUUUCUAAUGUAUUUCCCCACCUUCUCCAUUAAAACUAUUAAAUAACAAUUAAUUUGUAAGUUUCAUAUUCGGUGAGUCUUGUUGUACAUGCUCGCAAGUCUAACAUUUGUCUCCUAUGUCAGGUACAUGGUAUGAGAUUAUGCACAUAUUUUUAAAGCUUCAUUGCCAUAUUUUUGUACCAAAUGUGUAGGCUUUACAACAGUAGCCAUUUAUCAUUUACGGUGGUUGACCGUGGCCCAUCUGAAAAUCUACAUGUCUCGCUGGCUCCCCAUCGGAUUACUAGGGCAUUAAGCUCCACACGUGGAAAUAGACUGUCACGGUAGAUGGUUGCGCACAACUGAUGGCCGCAACUCGCUGCCGUAGUUGUGCUGCUUGCAUUAUGCUUGGGCUGCUCUGGAAUUAUUUAGAUUUCAGUUCGUGGACUUUAUUACUCAUGUGUUCUUUUAGUAGGCCUAUACAAACACAAUUGUACUAUGGCUGAUCUGUUUCCUCUUGUUGCGGUUGUCGUGCCUAGGAAAAUAUGAAAUAUUUAAAGUUUGGUUCUUUUGAAGCUUGAAACACAAUUGUACAACAGCUUCCAUAAAGUAUUUUGCAACUUCAGAAAUCCAAAAUUAUGGUUCUGAUGUUAACGACCAGGAUGAUGCGAUAGCCUCUUUUGAUUCGUAUCUAUUUUUUCGAAGCUUGAAAGAUAUACUUGCAACACUUGACUGGAAUGAACUAACUUGUGUUUCUCUUUUUUUUUCCAUUUCCAGAAUACUUUGCUGCUAGCAUAAUUGUGAUCCAUUUUUUACUCUACUUUUCCUUGAUCUAUAUACAUGAUUGCCAAUUUCCAACUUCUUAGUUACAGAAAAAACAAACAAAAUUCAGUUUAGAUGUGUCUGUUGUAGGCAUUAGUAGAUUCUUCAGAGCCAUCAUUCUGAACAUUGUUUAAAAUGACGCCCUAUUGCCGUUGGUGCCAAGAACUUGUGAUUUAUGGCUUAUGUCAAUUCCAUCUUUAUAAAUGCUUGUGAAGUACACGGUGGGGGAGCGCAUGGUUGAUGAUUAUGUUCUGGGUUGGCCAUUGAGAGGGAGGCCGAAGCAAACUCCAUCAGGUUUCAGGUGCACGCCCUCUGUCCCUGUUUUCGUCUCUGUAGCUAAACUUGAGAAUUGUACAAUUUGGUAUACACAGUUAGUUGCUAAGUUUACAUGCAGUUAUGGAAGUUAGAGCACAUACAUGCUUGAUUUUACUUCCUUUAAUACAGGGCAUUCUAUAAUUACUAAGAACUGAUUUGUUGAAGUGUGGCUCCCUAUUUUGUCCGGAUAGCUACUUCAGGUUAGGCGGGAGAAAUAAAAAGGGUGACCAUAGAUAUAUGGUCUAGCAUCACAAGGUUCAGGUAACUGCUGUUGAUCGACCGUUGCUUCGGUCGAGGUGGGUUAUGCUUGAUUAUGUUCUUUGUAUUUUUUUUCAUGGCCUACACUGGUGUUAUCAUCUAUUCUGUUUCAAAAAUUUCAAUGGCUUAGUUUCAUGUCCCAGUACCACUUGAAGUACAACUAAGUACCUUCUGACAUGACAAUAAUGUAUGUAUUUACCUAUGGUUAUUGUUUCCUAUAAGAAACAUGAUCAUCUCACCUUGGUUUCCCCUGUAUCUAACUUGGGACAGUUUUAUGUGAGAUUUGUUUUGCACUUUCUGUGUGUGUGGAUGCUUAAGCUUAAGCUUUUGUUAUUUGGUUCAGUUAGAGAUUAAAGAAGACUGAAAUUAUGGUCUCGCAGCGAGGAUUGUUGUGCCCAACCUGCACAAGAAUGUAGUCCUUCUCCGAGACGUAAGCCACGGCGCAUGUUUCUGCCAUGAUUUCCUUUAGUUGGAUUUCAUGGAUUUAGGUGUUGAAACAUUAUGGGCUGUGGAUGCAGGAUUAAGGACAUGUACCUGCACUACAAUGAGUGAUCUGGGCUGCUUCUUUGUGGCUUCCAAACUUGAAAUGUUUUUUGGAAGUUAGUUUAGUUUUUUGUUGUGGAUUCACAGCUUCUCACAUGUACCAUUCUCUUGGACCUUUAGAUUUCCAAAGAAACUAAAUGAAGAUAUGGUGGUAUGGUCUCAA